ACUCGCAGGCAUUGUUGAAUAGAGUACGGGUAUGGAGGACCUGCUUCUCCUUUCGUUGCACCAGGUUCUCCAUCUGGGCCAGCUGGGUUCUCCUGAGUUUGACCUGGUCAUGAUUUUCCACCUGCUCUCUAAUCCAGCUUUGAAAAUCCUCCUCACUCAUCUCCAUCUCCUCAUCCUUACUUUCCAUGACUAGGGAGACUGCGACAACUUCCCUCUAAAUGGAAAACUCAGGUAAAAUCGGUGCAUUCAAGAAGCCUCUGAUACAGAUGGUGAGAAGGAAGCCCCAUCAGUCAGCCAACCCACCUACACUACAUAGGAACCCUGGCUUCAUCAGUCUACAUAUCAACCACCAAUGCCUUGUUGGGUGAUGCAACAUUAAGUAUGUUGUAUGGCGGGUAAUGGGACGUUUUUUGAGUGAGGUUUUUAUUGCUGCUGUGUGGAGGGAUCCAGUGCUAUCAAUGGCCUCUGAGAGUGAUGUGGAGGCAAAAAUGAAAAGGUGGCUGCAGCUGACCAGGAUUGAGGUGGAGGUUGAGAUGGCGCCGUAAGGAUCCACAACUGUUUGAGCACAGCGCACAACUGUCAACAGCAAAAAGAAGCAGAGGAGGGCGAGGAAGAAGAGAGCAAAUCCAAGGUCCACAUCCACCUCUAGCUUUGAUAGAGGUCGACCAGGCUGGUCCAUGUGGCUGUUUAUGACGAGGGUCAGUAGUAGCUUGAAAGAUGCUUGUGUUUUUGAAGUACAGGUUCCAGGG
ensembl:lncRNA